CACCAGUCCUGCAGCAGGACAAUGUCAGAGCUACUUGGCCCUGGCCGCGUCCUGAAAGACUUGGAUGUAAGGAGCUGUGGUCAGGCUGGGGCACGGCACAAGUGAGAGCUGUGUAGAGCGAGUGCCUGAGCUCUUAGAGGCGAUGGAAACAAAAUCAGUCUACGCAUUUCUUCCUCCUCUCUGUCCCCUGGGUGCUAAGAGAGGACGAGGUGCCUCAUCCUGCACUGGACAAGCCUGAGCAGGCAAGCAUAAUGGGUGUUUGAACUACAGACCGCCUCCCACGGACUUGGGUCUACCUGUGUAAGGGUCUCACCUGGUAGUGAAGCUGAAACUGCUCCAUGUCCACACCCAAGAACUUGGCAUUUACGGCAAACCUUCCCGCCUCAUCUCCAGGAGUGAUGUCAAAGAUGACGUUCCUGAAGCUGUCAGGAAAAGGAGUCAACACAGGACCCCUCUUUUUGAGCCCCACCCCCACUCUGCAGGUGCUCCUGGGGCAGCGGUGGUGGGUUCCACCGGCAGCCCAGGCUUCUCCUCGUGCCCCAUUGCUGGCAGCCUGCUCUCUAUCGUCUCCCAGUUUGACUUCUGCCUAUUUAAUCUUUUUUUACUUGCCUGGCCCUACCAAGCUGGUCUCAUCUCCAGAAAGCGUUCCCAGCAUCCUUACCAGCGCUAUAACAUGCCUGCUGCUCUCCCCUCUGUCUGAAGAUGCUCCAUUUCCCCACCUUCUUUCAGCAAGCAACUUCCUCCUCCUUCCAACCCAGAGCCUGCUCAGAGCUUCAUCCCAGCCUUGUCCCUCCCACGAGACAGGAAGGGUCUGACAUUCUGACACAUACUGAGAGAUAGGGAGAUCUUCAAUUUCCACCAAGACGCCCUUUUCCAGGAGCUGGGCGGCUGUGUAAUGAAGACAUGGCUGCUUCUUCCCCUUCCCAGAACUCCUGCUUAAAGGAAGGAGACUUUGUCUGAAAAACUUUCAAUACUGGCUGCCAGCUUCUGGUGCCUGGCAGGAAGAUGCAGGCCCUGAGGAGCCUCCCUGCUGUGGAAGAUGAGGGGGUCACAAAUGCCAGAGUUAGGGGCACGUAGUGCUGAACUGGGGGUGAUUCCUAGCCAGGGUUAGGGGAUGGAGGGCAGAGGUGCAGAGUUCUGGUGAGGGCAGGGUUUACAACACCUACU